rnacentral:lncRNA from 1 species
GGAAGAUGCAUACACACUCUUCCGAAAAAGAGGAAAUAGAAGCUUCAUCAUCGCCCUGGUCCCCACCAGGCCAGCAACAUCCGUGUACUAAUGAGGACCUAUACUUAGUUUAUACAAAAGUUGCAAGCUGUUACGUAAAUCACACUGCUGGUGUGAAGGAUGUCAGUGUGUAGCUAGCUCCAGAACUCUACAUACAUGUCUCUGGCUUUCCCUGUUUCCAGCUUUCCCAUAUAUUUUCUUCCUAUCUACAAACACCCAGGUUGGGAAGUGGAUUCAUUGCGAG